UUGAUUAAUGAACCUAGAAAAUCCCUGGAAUUGGAUCCCACUAAGCGUCCGAGCUCUCCACCGGCAAGAUGAACCCACAGUUUACUGGAUGGGCUCGUAGGUAUGAACUUACUUCCGGCUGUGAUUUUGGAUGUUGGUAUUCAGGUCACUGUUCUCGUAUAUAGGCAUAGUGGAUAAAAUUCAUCCAUGGCCAGGGGUAGAGCAGUCCCAUUGAGGAUAGAUUUUUACUGGCCAAAUUUUGGUAUUCCAUAAUACAAUGGGUACUCAAUGGAUGUAUAAAAUUCAGUUUAGAAAAAAAGGGUUUCACACGAUCUUUGGGAGUUGCUUACAACAUUAUAAAAUUCACUGGCAAAAUCAUACGCAUUUCGCCAGUCUUUCACGCGAGUUUCUUACAAAAUUGUAAUCCGUUCUUCAGGAGUGCGACAUCUUAGAAUUGAGGAUUGACUGCAGCAUGUAUUUGUGCUUUGUCGUUAUCACACGAUAACGAGAAAUACCUUGUUGGCAGUUUGGCCAGUGUGGCCUGAUAAAAAUAAUGUGCCUGCUGCAAUAAUGAACUUGCCUUUCAUCGAUGUGGCGACGUGCGUGCCGAUCACAUACACAGAGCCCUGUUACCUGAGAUGUGCCUUUUAGAUUUAUUGGUUUAUGAACCCAGCUAUCUUAUAUGCUACUCCUUUUGUACCUAAAUAUAUGAUGUUUUGGUAGACUAAACUAGCCUACCAAAAUGUCAUAUAUUUAGGUACGGAGGGAGUAGAUUGAUAUAGAUGUUUAUUUCCUGGUACAGAGAUAGAAAAUACGGCUACUCUAGUGGGAAGUGCAUACAUACAUGAAUUUUUAAUAUAGCAAGCAGACAUUGAUGGUGAUCUAAAAAGAAAAUUUAGCAAUUUACUAUGUUGUACCUUCAUCAUAUAAACUAGUGGUAAAUAGCUCAGGUAAGUUUUAUGUUAGGAGUGCGCCAGGUGAACACUCGAAUGUUACAGAACUGAGCUCAGAUAGGGUUGAUGUAUCAUAAGUCAAUAAGUGCCUGAAUUGGGUAUCUACCAUUGGAGUUGCUUAUGGAGUUUGAUAUGGUCUUUCAUAUAACUAGUAGAGAAAAUAUGCGAUUGUUCUAAGGAGGUCGUCGUUUGAUGUCAGGUACCAAAUUCGAAAGAAGUAGUACAAGUGUACAGCUAGAGAAGUUGCCGAAACAAUUGUAGCUAUUGAAACAGUGACCCAAGGUGCUGUAGCUCAAGCUAACUAGCAUGCAAGGCCGACAACUGUGGCGUCAUGGAAACAGAUGUGUCAACAGAAAGAAUUGAAAAUGAUGGAAGAGAGUCCAGUUCUUGAGGACUGUGCAACACAUUCCAGCAUCAGACAGCUCCGAUGACAUGAAGAUAAGAGCGUCGAUGAGGCACAAAUACCAGUGUCUGCAUUCCAGAAUGAUACAUCAUCUGCUGGUAAUGGGGGGAUUUUUGCAAUAGAUAUGUGGAAGUAGAUCUACGGGUUAAUUGCUCUAACAAGGAAUAUGACUGAUGAUGACGCAAUGCUUGAUAGAUAAUCGAAGCACAGAUUGUCGGAGGGGAACAGGUCUAGUGUCCGAACUGAUGUCGAGGAACCUAAGGUUGCAAGUUGGUAUGGUGAGGACAACUGUGUAAGGUGAUAUGGGGGAUAAAUUCUGAUGGAAAGCCGGUUUUGAAGCAUGAAGAGCCAAAUGCAGGAGAGGUGAUGAUUUUCUAUGACAAAAUCUUGUCAUGUACCAACAUGGAUCUUAGCAAGUGAGUGUAACUAAGGGAUUAGCGUUAUUAAAUUCGAAAUGAAUCAUGGUAGCUUCAGUACUCACUGAGGUUGUCAUUUGCAGGAUAUGGUUCAAGCACAUGGUUCCAACAUUCGCUUUGCUGACGGGAGAGGACUACAUCAAGGAGUUUGGACAAUUACAUUAGUCUUGGUUAACAACUUAAACCGGUGAGCGCUAAGAUGAGUCUUCGUGUUUGCAUUCAUACUGCUUGUGAUUUUGACCCUAUGGUGGUGGAAUGUGCAGAUCCGGCAUCACUAUCUCAGGAGGUCAAUUGCAUAUGAGGUGAUCUCGAUGAGAGGUAACAUGGGUGAGUUGCCAUGAGAGGUAACAUGGGUGAGUUGCCCGACUUCAUGAUGGAGAAAGUCUUCUUCUGAUGUGGGAGUGCUGAUCUGGUACCAUGUGGUUGCUUUUGGGUGGGACCUUUUUUUUGUGCGAGUGAAUUAAUGUGCUUCUAUUACUCAGUGAUAAGCGUUUGGUUGGAACCUGAAGCUGUGCCUACUGUUUGCGGGUACUUGUUACUUGUUAGCUUCCAUCCCAGUUUCUCAUGUGGUUAUGCUUGUAAUCCCAUUGUGUGGUAGCCUACCAUUAUGUAUGUGUUAAAUCUGAACCACUAUUUUGAGCCAGCUGUGACAUGUUAGCAUCCAUCCCGCUUGAGUAGUGUGGAAGUGCUUGUGGUCACACUGUGCCGAGACUUCAUGAACUAGUGUGUGUGAGACUAUGAUCUGAACAAGUGAUGCUGCAAUUACUAUUUGCUUGUGUUAGUACGUACCUAGUUUUUAGCUAUGAAUAAAGAGAAUUUGCAUUAGUACUUGCGACGACAACUUGUGAUGCAUAGUGCGACCUGAAAAAGUUGUUCACCAUGUCCGGCAGCGGUCGUGAUCUGUUUUUUUUUUAACAG
rnacentral:lncRNA from 1 species